rnacentral:rRNA from 1 species
UGGGGAAUAUUGGACAAUGGGGGCAACCCUGAUCCAGCAAUGCCGCGUGGGUGAUGAAGGCCUUCGGGUUGUAAAGCCCUUUCGGCGGGGACGAUGAUGACGGUACCCGCAGAAGAAGCCCCGGCUAACUUCGUGCCAGCAGCCGCGGUAAUACGAAGGGGGCGAGCGUUGUUCGGAAUUACUGGGCGUAAAGGGCGCGCAGGCGGCGCCAGAAGUCAGAUGUGAAAGCCCCGGGGCUCAACCUGGGAAUUGCAUUUGAUACUCUGGUGCUUGAGUUCGGGAGAGGAGAGUGGAAUUCCCAGUGUAGAGGUGAAAUUCGUAGAUAUUGGGAAGAACACCGGUGGCGAAGGCGGCUCUCUGGACCGAUACUGACGCUGAGGCGCGAAAGCGUGGGGAGCAAACAGGAUUAGAUACCCUGGUAGUCCACGCUGUAAACGAUGUGUGCUAGACGUUGGGAGGCCUAGCCUCUCGGUGUCGCCGCUAACGCUUUAAGCACACCGCCUGGGGAGUACGGCCGCAA